AUGAGGCCUCAUGUGUAACAUUUGAUCAAGUUAUUAUUUUCUCUUAUUACACUUCAGAUUACAUUGGAAAUAUACAGGAUGCCCAUUUGGAAGCUGGACCAAAAAUAGAGGUAAUGAGGAAAUGUCUGGCAUAUGUGCACAUGCAGUGUUCACCACAGAGUGCGGGGAGUAUGUGCAGUGAGACCAGCCCCUUUUGGCUUUGGUGACUAAGAGGCCCAGACGCAGAUGUUGUUUAUUGUGGUUUCUACAGGUUUGGGCCUCAUUGGCAGCCAUUUCAAAGAAGCCCUGACUGGGAUCCAAUGGUGGGGAAGAGGAGGAAGAAAAGGAAGAAGGAAGGAGAGAAGAAGACAAGGAAGGAGGGAAAAAGUGGAAAAAAAUGGAAGAUGAGAAAACUGAGAAACAAAGAGAGGAAGUAACUUGUCCAGAGUCACACAGUGGCAACUGAGUACCAAAAGCAACACCAACUCAGGUGUCCUGACUCCCCAGACAGUGCUGUGUCCACUACACCAAAUGCUGGAGGAGGAUCUCUGGAGGUGUGCUUGUGCUCCAGCCCCACCCUGCCACCUGCUGAUGCUUGCUAUUUCUCCUGUCCAUCUGCUUGACCAGCAAUUCCUCAAUACUCUCCACCCAGCUUGGAACCUCCUCUUGUCAAGACCAGACCUGCCACAAGAACCUGCCAAUCCUAGCCAUUAUUUUUCCACAGAGGGUGAUGUAUAAUAAUCUUUCCACACCAAUCCCUUACCAUACUUCAUAUGUAUGUUUCUAGCCUGCCAUAGCCAUUUUUCAGUGUGGAGAAAAGAACCCCACAUCUUCUAAUUUUCAAGCAUAUUUUUUUAAGCUGAUCCUGGACUCCUAGUUUAGAAGGCUGUUACUAAAGGUUUUUCACAGGGAGGGCAGUUAGUUCCAAAUCUGUAGAUUUAAAGUCAGUUUUGGGGAAUGUCUGAUUCUCUUCCCCUU
rnacentral:lncRNA from 1 species